GGUGCAUAUGCUCACUAUUCUAUGCUCUGUGAAUAUAUGAAAAUUUUAAAACACAAAAUGAGUGUACAAUAACAUUGGUGUAGCAUCAACCAAUUCAGGAGAAACAAGCCAGUUUGGUAUGUAAAUCUGAUAUGACAUUUAAAUAUUCACUAAUUCUUCUCAAGAAAUAAAUAUUAUGUGGAUUCCAAAGUAGAAUCUGGGGAUAAAUUUUAUUUUAUUUGCAUAGUGAUUGAUUAAACACAUUGCUUCAGAGUAGAUUCCCCUAGGUUCGAAGAUCAGACAAGAGCAGGUGUGUUCAGAGUGGUAUGGCCAGAGAUCACAGCGGAUUCCCUAGGGCAAAUCUUGAAAUAUAUAUUUGCUCCACAUGGUUGAUUGAGCUAGUACUCUCAAGAAAAAGUGAAUGAAGGUAGAAAAAUAGAGCAGAGGAGAAGCAAAUGGUUUGCCUUAGCAGAAAAUGGCAAUGGCCUGAGCUAGCAGGAAGCCUGAAUUGCAUCCAGGUUGGUCACUUGAGCCCAUAGGAUCUGGCUCACUGUCACCUUUGCUAAUCACUUAUCAGCUGCAGGCUGUGUCUGAGAUUGGAGAUGGAAAUACAGGAUUAUACUUGAAACCCUGCUCCCACUCGGAACUCAGUCAAGAGACAGUGUGCAGACAAGGACUCCCCUGUGAACUACAAGAAUCUGAUGCACACAAUAAUUCGGCCUGGAAGAAACUACAGAGAUGGUGUUGUUACUCUGUAAAUUCAACUCGGACGUCUCUCUUCACUGAAGCUGUCUCUAGCCACUCUGAAGAAGUCCCACUUUCACUACAGGCAUUAUGGACUAGAGUGCCCUGUGUUCUGCAAGCAUAGGAAGGUUUUUUUUUUUCAUAUUUCUCCAUAUUAACUCACAUACUGUCACCCACUUUUUCUCACAUUCUCCUACCUCAAAUCCUUGCAACUCUAUUAGCAAAGUAAAUUUUCUUCAUGUUUGAUUCAGUUGUACCUGUAUUAGAAUAAUUUUGAAGCCUUUUCUGCCCCUUACUGUUUGCUCCAAGGAAACUGGGCUGGCUGAACUGAUAAAUGUGCUUUCUCGAAGAGCUGAGAAAGCAUUG
rnacentral:lncRNA from 1 species